rnacentral:rRNA from 1 species
GUUGUCCGGAUUUAUUGGGCGUAAAGAGCGUGUAGGCGGCCAUACAGGUCCGUUGUGAAAACUGGAGGCUUAACCUCCAGACGUCGAUGGAAACCGUGUGGCUAGAGUCCGGAAGAGGAGAGUGGAAUUCCUGGUGUAGCGGUGAAAUGCGCAGAUAUCAGGAAGAACACCCGUGGCGAAGGCGGCUCUCUGGGACGGUACUGACGCUGAGACGCGAAAGCGUGGGGAGCGAACAGG